AGGCGACGCAGUCGGCCCAGGCGCGGGGCCGCUCGGCCACCAGGCUGCGGUGCAGCGCCUCGAGCACCUCCAGCGGCUGCGUCCCCGCCAGCCGCAGCGUCCGCUCCACAAAGCGCCCGUCCCUGCGCCGGGGGGGGGGGCACCGGCACGUUUGCACCCCAACGCGCUCGCGCCGCCGCGAGGUUGCAGCGCGCAACCGCGUUUGCAUGGCUGCGAGGUUGCAUCGUGCAUGCAAAGCGCGUUUGCAUGGCUGCGAGGUUGCAUCGUGUGUGCAACUGCAUUUGCAUGGCUGCAAGGUUGCAUCGUGCAUGCAACUGCGUUUGCAUUGCGGCGAGGUUGCAGCGUGCAUGCAAAGCGCGUCUGCAUGGCUGCAAGGUUGCAGGGUGCAAGCGAUUUUGCAUUGCUGCAAGGGUGCAUCGUGCAUGCAACUGCUUUUGCAUUGAUGCAAGGUUGCAUUGUGCAUGCAAAGCGCGUUUGCAUGGCUGCAAGGUUGCAUCUUGCAUGCAAAGCGCGUUUGCAUUGCUGCGAGGUUGCAUCGUGCGUGCAACUGCACGUUUGCAUGGCUGCAAGGUUGCAUCGUGUGUGCAACUGCUUUUGCAUUGCUGCGAGGUCGCAUCGUGCAUGCAAAGCGCAUUUGUAUGGCUGCAAGGUUGCAUCGUGCGUGCAACCGCUUUUGCACUGCUGUGAGGUUGCACCGUGCAACUGCUUUUGCAUUGAUGCAAGGUUGCAUUGUGCAUGCAAAGCGCGUUUGCAUGGCUGCGAGGUUGCAUCGUGUGUGCAACUGCUUUUGCGUUGCUGCCAGGUUGCAUCGUGCAUGCAAAGCGCGUUUGCAUGGCUGCAAGGUUGCAUCGUGUGUGCAACUGCUUUUGCGUUGCUGCGAGGUUGCAUCGUGCGUGCAAAGCGCGUUUGCAUGGCUGCGAGGUUGCAGGGUGCAAGCGAUUUUGCAUUGCUGCAAGGUUGCAUCGUGCAUAUAAGUACGUUUGCGUUGCUGCAAGGUUGCACCGUGCAACUGCUUUUGCGUUGCUGCAAGGUUGCACCGUGCAACUGCUUUUGCGUUGCUGCGAGGUUGCAACAUGCGUGCAAAGCGCGUUUGCAUAGCUGCAAGGUUGCAUCGUGCGUGCAAAGCACGUUUGCAUGGCUGCAAGGUUGCAUUGUGCAUGCGAGUGUGUUUGCAUUGCUGAGGUUGCAGUGCGUGUGCAAGUGCGUUUGCGUUGCUGCAANGCGCAACCGUGUUUGCAUGGCUGCGAGGUUGCAUCUUGCAUGCAACUGCUUUUGCAUGGCUGCAAGGUUGCAUCGUGCGUGCAAAGCGUGUUUGCAUUGCUGCGAGGUUGCAUCUUGCAUGCAACUGCUUUUGCAUGGCUGCAAGGUUGCAUCGUGCGUGCAAAGCGUGUUUGCAUUGCUGCAAGGUUGCAUCUUGCAUGCAACUGCUUUUGCAUGGCUGCGAGGUUGCAGGGUGCGAGUGUGUUUGCGUUGCUGCAAGGCUGCAUCGUGCAUGCAAGCGUGUUUGCAUUGCUGCGAGAUUGCAUCGUGCAUGCGAGUGUGUUUGCGUUGCUGAGGUUGCAGUGCGUGUGCAAGUGCGUUUGCGUUGCUGCAAGGUUGCACCGUGCAUAUAAGUGUGUUUGCAUUGCUGCAAUGUUGCACCGUGUGUGCGAGCGUGUUUGCGUUGCUGUGAGGCUGCAUCGUGCGUGCAAGUGCGUUUGCAUUGCUGCAAGGUUGCAAUCUGCAGGCAAACGCGUUUGCAUUGCUGCAAGGCUGCAUUGUGCAUGCGAACGCAUCUGCAUCACUGCAAGGUCGCACCAGGCGUGCAAGUGCGUUUGCAUUGCUGUGAGGUGGCACCGUGCAUGCAAAUGUUUUUGCGUAGCUGCAAAGUUGCGCCAUGCACGCGACUGCUUUUGCAUUGCUGCAGGGUUGCACCGCGCGUGCAAAUGUCUUUGCAUCGCUGCAGGCUCGCGUCGUGUGGGCAAGCGCGUCUGCAUCGCUGCAAGGCUGCAAGCUGCAUGCAAACACUUUUGCAUCGCUGCAAGGUUGCACCGUGCGGGCAAACACUUUUGCAUCGCUGCAAGGUUGCAAACUGCAUGCAAACACUUUUGCAUCGCUGCAAGGUUGCACCGUGCGUGCAAAUGUGCCUGCAUCGCUGCAAGGUCGCACCGUGCAUGCAACCGCGUCUGCACCGCUGCAAGGUCGCACCGUGCACGCAAGUGUUUCUGCACCGCUGCGAGGUUGCAUCGCGCG
rnacentral:lncRNA from 1 species